rnacentral:lncRNA from 1 species
GACCCGGAGUGCAGCGCGGUGCUGGCGUGGCCCCACUGCGCUAUGGGUCCCAGCGUGGCCCCACUGCACGAGGGUCUGGGAGGGGCCCGUCCCAUUGAGUCCCCAUUGCGCUAUGGGUCCCAGUGUGUCCCCAUUGUGCUGUGGGGUCCCAUUCUGUCCCCGUGUCCCCGCUGCCCCAUGGCGUCCCGUUGCGUCCCCAUUGAGGCCCCAUUGCGCUCUGGGGUCCCCUCGUGUCCCCACUGCAUUAAGGUCCCUGUAGUGCGCAGGGGGUCCCAUUGUGUCCCCGUUGCUCUGUAGGGUCCUAUUGGCUCCCAUCGUGACCCUAUUGCACUAUGGGGUCCCAUAGCGUCCCCAUCAUGUGUUGGGGCCCCACUGUGUCCCCAUGUCCCUGUUGCACUAUGAGAUCCUAUUGUGUCCCCAUUGCACUAUGGGGUCCUAUAGCAUCCCCAUCACAUGUUGGGGCCCCAUUGUGUCCUCGUGUCCCCAUUGCGCUGUGCCAUCCCAUCACGUCCCAUUGUGGCCCCGUUGCACUUUGGGGUCCCGUAGUGUUUCCAUUACAUCCUGGGGUCCCAUCGUGUCACCAUGCCCCCACUGCGCUCUGGGGUCCCCUCGUGUCCCCAUUGCAUUAAGGUCCCUGUAGUGCACAGCGGGGUCCCAUUGUGUCCCCAUUGCACUAUGGGGUCCCAUAGCGUCCCCAUCAUGUGUUGGGGCCCCAUUGUGUCCCCAUGUCCCCAUUGCACUAUGGGGUCCUGUAGCAUCCCCAUCACAUAUUGGGGUCCCAUUGUGUCCCCAUUGCUCUGUGGGGUCCCAUUGGUUCCCAUUGUGUCCCCAUUGCUCUAUGGGGUCCCAUUGGUUCCCAUUGUGUUCCCAUUGCUCUGUGGGGUCCCAUUGGUUCCCUCUGUGUCCCCAUUGCACUAUGGGGUGCCAUUGUGUCCCCAUUGCACUAUGGGGUCCCAUAGCAUCCCCAUCACGUAUUGGGGUCCCCAUUGCACUGCGGGGUCCCCAUAGCACGGAGGUCCCUAUCCCCAUGGGGGGGGGUCCCCGUGUGCCCCUA